rnacentral:rRNA from 1 species
CUACGGGAGGCAGCAGUGGGGAAUAUUGCACAAUGGGCGCAAGCCUGAUGCAGCCAUGCCGCGUGUAUGAAGAAGGCCUUCGGGUUGUAAAGUACUUUCAGCAGUGAGGAAGGUGGGUAUGUUAAUAGCAUACUCAUUUGACGUUAGCUGCAGAAGAAGCACCGGCUAACUCCGUGCCAGCAGCCGCGGUAAUACGGAGGGUGCGAGCGUUAAUCGGAAUUACUGGGCGUAAAGCGCAUGCAGGUGGUUUGUUAAGUCAGAUGUGAAAGCCCGGGGCUCAACCUCGGAAUUGCAUUUGAAACUGGCAAACUAGAGUACUGUAGAGGGGGUAGAAUUUCAGGUGUAGCGGUGAAAUGCGUAGAGAUCUGAAGGAAUACCGGUGGCGAAGGCGGCCCCCUGGACAGAUACUGACACUCAGAUGCGAAAGCGUGGGGAGCAAACAGGAUUAGAUACCCUGGUAG